rnacentral:rRNA from 1 species
GUCUGGUGCCAGCAGCCGCGGUAAUUCCAGCUCCAAUAGCGUAUAUUAAACUUGUUGCAGUUAAAAAGCUCGUAGUUGUAUUUCAGCCUCGCGUUUUUUCCCUUUUUUUGGGUCUUUUCGCUGGCUUUUUUUUUACUUUGAGAAAAUUAGAGUGUUUCAAGCAGACUUUUGUCUUGAAUACUUCAGCAUGGAAUAAUAGAGUAGGACCUUGGUUCUAUUUUGUUGGUUUUGAGCCUUGGUAAUGGUUAAUAGGAACGGUUGGGGGCAUUCGUAUUUAACUGUCAGAGGUGAAAUUCUUAGAUUUGUUAAAGACGAACCACUGCGAAAGCAUUUGCCAAGGACGUUUUCAUUAAUCAAGAACGAAAGUUAGGGGAUCGAAGACGAUCAGAUACCGUCGUAGUCCUAACCAUAAACUAA